GAUGAACGCUGGCGGCGUGCCUAAUACAUGCAAGUCGAGCGAAUGGAUUAAGAGCUUGCUCUUAUGAAGUUAGCGGCGGACGGGUGAGUAACACGUGGGUAACCUGCCCAUAAGACUGGGAUAACUCCGGGAAACCGGGGCUAAUACCGGAUAACAUUUUGAACCGCAUGGUUCGAAAUUGAAAGGCGGCUUCGGCUGUCACUUAUGGAUGGACCCGCGUCGCAUUAGCUAGUUGGUGAGGUAACGGCUCACCAAGGCAACGAUGCGUAGCCGACCUGAGAGGGUGAGAGGCCACACUGGGACUGAGACACGGCCCAGAAUCCUACGGGAGGCAGCAGUAGGGAAUCUUCCGCAAUGGACGAAAGUCUGACGGAGCAACGCCGCGUGAGUGAUGAAGGCUUUCGGGUCGUAAAACUCUGUUGUUAGGGAAGAACAAGUGCUAGUUGAAUAAGCUGGCACCUUGACGGUACCUAACCAGAAAGCCACGGCUAACUACGUGCCAGCAGCCGCCGUAA
rnacentral:rRNA from 1 species